rnacentral:lncRNA from 1 species
GGUUCAAGCAAUUUUCCUGCCUCAGCCUUCUGAGUAGCUGGGAUUACAGGCAUCUGCCACCAUGCCCAGGUAAUUUUUUUAAAUCCGGGUGGGCCUAAGCAGGCCAGGACUUAUCUGGAGGCUCCGAUGUUGGGAACCCAGGGCCCUUCUGCCUUGUUGGGCUCCCUAGCAUGCUUUGGGAGAAUGCUCUGCCACAUCCACAUUCCAGCCAGUGGAAGGAAGGAAGAGAAAAGGGAGGAAACAGCUGCUGCUUAUAAGAGCAUGACUCAGGAAUUGCACUCAUUACUUUUACUCACCUUUUACUGAUCAGAACUUGGUCACGUGCUCGCUUCAGUAGCACAUAUGCUAAAAUUGGAACCAUACAGAGAAACUUAGCUACAGCCCCAGCGCAACGGUGACAUGCAAAUUUGUGAUGUGGUCCAUAUGAAGGAAGGAAGGAAGGAGAAAAAGAAAAAAAGAGAGAGAGAGAAAGAAAGAAAGAAAGAAGAAAAGGAGAAAGAAAGAAAAGGAGAAAGAAAAGGAGAAAGAAAGAAUGAAAGAAAAAAAAUGAACGAAUGAAUGAACUUGGUUAUGUGGCUACACUCAGCCGUAAGGGAGGCUCAGAAAAGUAGCCUUUAUUUUGGCUGCCUUGUGCGUAGCUGUGUACCUGGAGCUCUGUUAUUGUAGAUAGAGUGAGUGGAUAUGAGGACACCUAGUGGUCCCUGGAGCAGAACGCCCAGCUUAGAUUAAUUAGUGUGAUUAUUGAUUAAUAGCUAUCUACCCCACUAGACUGUAUCUCCACAAGAGCAGGAACCGUAUGUGUUUUUGCCCACCAUUGUAUCCUUACCAUCUAUCCUGUGCCUGGUACACAGUAGGAUCUUAAUAAAUAUUUGUUGAAUACACGAGUGAAUGGAUCAGGUCCCUCCCUCUUGCUAUCCCUGUCAUGCUUGACACUCCAGCCAGACCAUACCACUCGUGAUUGCCUAGCAAUGUAUUCAUUAUCAAUUAAAAAGAAAUCACUGCUAAUCCGAUAAACAAACAUAGUCAUCUCAUUGUUGCUUACAUUUCUUUGGUGAGUUUUCAGGUGAUACACAUUUUCACGUCUUUAUUUAUACUUCUCAUUUUGAGAUUUGACAUAAUAGCAUGUCAAUUUUGAUAACAUCACCUGAGGUACAUGAAGAGGUUGAUGCGGCUGAUUUCAGUCAAAAAAUAAGGGCGAAAGGAAAUAAGUGCAAAAAGAAAAAAGCAAACAAACAAAAAAGGCCAAGUUAGGCAGCACACCCAGGGACUUGCUUGCUGAGGAGUGAAAUAGAUACUUGAAUUAGGGCAUUCACGCAAUUCUACAUGAGUGCUGUUUCUCAAACCUCAGCCUUCCAUGAGAGUUGGGAAGCAAAGAGUUAAAUGUUAUAAUCUCUGUUUAGAAUCUAGCAGGAUGGUAUUUUAAGUUGCUAAUUAAUGGAAUAUCCAUGAGUUGUA